UGCUCCGGAUCCCUUAGUGGCGAACGGGUGAGUAACGCGUGGGAAUCUACCUUAAAAUGGGGAAUAACUGUUGGAAACGACAGCUAAUACCGCAUAAUCCCUUCGGGGUAAAGACUUCGGCCGUUUUUUGAUGAGCCCGCGUUAGAUUAGGCUGUUGGUAGGGUAAUGGCCUACCAAACCUACAAUCUAUAGCUGGUCUGAGAGGAUGAUCAGCCACACUGGGACUGAGACACGGCCCAGACUCCUACGGGAGGCAGCAGUGGGGAAUAUUGGACAAUGGGGGAAACCCUGAUCCAGCAAUGCCGCGUGAGUGAUGAAGGCCUUAGGGUUGUAAAACUCUUUCAGAAGUGAAGAUGAUGACGGUAACUUCAGAAGAAGCUCCGGCUAACUCCGUGCCAGCAGCCGCGGUAAUACGGAGGGAGCUAGCGUUGUUCGGAAUUACUGGGCGUAAAGGGCGUGCAGGCUGUUUGGUAAGUCAGAGGUGAAAUCCCUAAGCUCAACUUAGGAACUGCCUUUGAUACUAUCAUACUAGAGAUUAAGAAAAGUUAGCGGAAUUCCAAGUGUAGAGGUGAAAUUCGUAGAUAUUUGGAAGAACACCAGUGGCGAAAGCGGCUAACUAGCUUUUAUCUGACGCUGAUACGCGAAAGCGUGGGUAGCAAACAGGAUUAGAUACCCUGGUAGUCCACGCCGUAAACGAUGAGUGCUAGCCGUUUGUGUUUUAUACACAA
rnacentral:rRNA from 1 species